rnacentral:lncRNA from 1 species
UGGAAUGAAAAUUCUUUUACAACAAUUUGUCUAAUGGGUAUAACCUCCCAAAACUUUUUAAGAUAUUUUAGCCCUUGAGGUUUGAGAUUCUACAUGCCAGAUAAGUGUUUUAUUUUUACCCACACGUUCUUUACUCCAUCUGAAUGGUAAAUGUGUUGCGGAAGACACAAACAACAAAAAGUUAAAUGAGAAAAUUAGCCCCAUAUAUCUUCUUGGAAAGACAAAAGCCAAUUUCUUCCUCUUAAUUGUACUCUCUUCUUCUGUCCGUUAAGCUUUUUACCCUUGAUGCCCUUAAAUUGAUAUCAUUAAAUUACUCUUUCUCACACCUUUUUGUGUCCCCAAGUUUUACAAUGCUUCAGCGUAAGUUAAGGCUUCAGCAUAGUGUUAUGACCUUUUAAAUUCUUAUACGUUAAGGCCUUUCUAUCUUUUUGGAGUGGUUAUGGAUCCUUUUCAAUGGGAAGAGAUCUUUUAAAAAGUUUCUUCCGAAAUGGUUAUGUAUACUGCUAUUCUGUAUUUCUUAUUUCAUGUUCUUUUAUAUCCUAAAUUAUUAUCUUAAUUUUUUUUCCUUGCAGUUUUUCUAUUGGUCAUUGUAGUCGUGACCUCAUCUUAAACAAAAGGCUAAAGAUGGUGAUUCGGAUGUUACUAAGACAUACAUCUUCUCAAAUGGUCAUGAAGCUGCUCCUCGAAAAGUAAUGUCUUCAACACUUGCUCACUUUACCCGUACUCAUGAACUUCUGCAAUUAGUAUAUAUCUUUUAUUUUUCUAUUGUGUUUUUUUAUAUGUAUUUGGGACCUUUUCCAACUAUAAAUGCUAAAAAUUAUAUUAAAUGUUAUUUCUCUUUCCUAUUUUUGUUUCAUGUUUACAUUGAUUAUAGUUGAAAAUAUAGUGCUUUUGAUCUUCGUUUGAAGCUUUUUCUGUUAGUUUAUGGAGUUUCUUUGUCCCUUCAAUUCUUUGGUUUAUAAUUGUUCGUAUUUAUUGACUUUAAGUUUGUUGGUUUUCGCAAGUUGGUUGGUGUAUGAAUUUACUAGAUUUGGAUUGUUUUGUUUUUUACAGAUAUUAUUAAAGUUGUUUCUCACGUGAAUUUUUCUAAGUCUAUUAUGACAAAUGGUAAUUGUAAUUGCAUGAGUCACUAGAGUAACUUGCUUCUUCUUUCUCCUCCUUUUUGAUUUCUCUCCUCUUAUUUCUUCCUUUGAUCUUCAAGUAGUAUAGUUUCUGUCUGUAAAAAAUAUAAUUCUGAAUGAUACAUAAUUUAUAAGAAAAAACCAUUGAAUGUUUCCUUGCUGUGAAUUUGGUCAAAUGUUUUUGUAAUUUGGAAAGGAAAAAAAAUUCUCUCUUUUGUUAUAAAUGCAAGUGGAAAAUAAUGUAUGAAGAAUUUAACUAUGUUUGUCAUGCACUUUUCGACCAAUUAUACUCCUUUAAUAGUCCAUUGAUAAUAUAAUUUUGAUUUUUGUGAAAAAUGUGAUCUAUAUUUUUGUAAUGAAAUAAUAACUACGGGGUGAAAAAAGAAGUAAGGAAUAAAAUUGAAAGAAGAGGGAAAAAGGAAAAGAAGAAUCAUUUGGGAAAGAAAAACAGACUCAUCCAGGGAAGUGCAUUGGUCUUCUCAGGUUCCUUCAGAUCUAGCAUUUUACUUUUCUUGAUGACAAUAGUAGCCAUUUGAAAUUAUUAGUAGAGUUUUCAAGAAAUUAUCAUUGAUACUCAUGGAAACUUAGGAUCUUUUAUUAGUAGAGUUUUCAAGAAAUUAUCAUUGAUACUCAUGGAAACUUAGGAUCUUUCUCCCAUAUUGAGUUUAGUUGUUGACUAUGAAAUUUUUGUAUAUGAUAUAUGCAUGGAAUUUAAUUAAAUUUUGUGAAUACUUUCAUAUUGUCCAUUUAGUUCUUCAAUUGAUUUUUGAAUAAUGAGUUUUUUUCCAUGAAUAACAUGUGUAUGAACUAAUGCUAAUUCCUGGAGUUUUAUUGAUUUCUUAACCCAAAAAGAAAUUAUGUUUUCUUUUUAUCAAUUCCUAUGUUGUCGACUCAUUGUCAUUUUAUUUUCCUUUUUAAUUGUUUUUUAGUAGCGAAAAAACAUACUUAGUCCUAAUUAAACAAAAAUUUAUCUCUAUCAAGACAUGAUUUAUAAGGUCAUUCUAAAUUCCCUAUUAUAUCGUGCGAAGCACGAACACAUUCACUAGUUAUUUUCUAAUUACAUGGUGCUUCUCAAGAGUUAAAAGCCCUCACUAUAUUAGUCUCCAAGACCUGCAAAAUAUUUCUACAAGUGUUAAAAGAAUGAAUAUUAACCACAAAUUGUAUGCCACCAAGUUCCAGAUGAUCCCUAGCAAGUCAUAAACAUGGAAGAUAUGAAUUAUACAGUGAGUGAGCUGUGCGCUCAUCAACCUGUCAGAUAGAGAUGCUGUUGGGAAUACCACGACAGGUAACACCCGGACCAGAAGUAGGUAGCAGCAGUUCAUAUGGAGGAAUGCCAGCACCACUUCGGUUUUUAAGACGAUUAUCCUUGUUUCUUUGGUUGAUGGUGUGUUCUACCUCCUCUAAUUUGGCACAGAAUCUUUCAGAAAUCCUCAAAACUUCAUGAUCAUUUACGGAGAAUCUUUGAAGUUCGUG